rnacentral:lncRNA from 1 species
AAUUUAGGAUGACAUUUGAAAAAAAUAGGCAGGACAGGAGUUUUGAGUUAAAAAAAAAGGCAGGAUGAAACACUUACAAAAAAAAAAGUCAGGACGACAAUUUAGGUAAAAAAAAGUCAGGAUAAACUAAAAAAAAAGGCAGGACCGAACAGAGUGAAAAAUAAAAAGGCAGGACAGAGAUUACAGCUAAAAAAAAAUGCAGGACAAAAUUUUUCAUCCUAGCCCAACCCCAACCCCCCCAUAAAAAUCAAAUGGUAGCUCCCUUAAACAGUCAGUCCGUUUGCGCGAAACAAUAGUAAAUAAAUAUGAAAAAAAAAAUCAUAGGACUUGACUGUAUAUAAACAAAUUAUAUUUUUCGAAAUUAAAAAAGUUUUUACGUUCAAUUAAAAAAAAACAGUUAAAAAAACCCAAAUUGAACUGUUUAUGCCACAAAACAUACCAACAAUGUGCCAGAGUUUUUCACAGUCUUAAUAUGAACAGUUAUAGUCUUGUCAUUCAGCCAUUUACACAUUCGUUUAGAUUAUACGUAUAUAUAGAGCAAUAAUCAUGACAAGCUCUGGAAAUGCGCACAGACAAAGAUAAAAUAAAAAUAAGAAAAAAGUUCUACAUUUUUUGAAGUUUCAAACUGGUGAAAUUCCCCGCCGCAUUAUCUGAAAUCGCUUGGGUUUAAGUAAAAAUGUAGCAAGUAAGGACUGUUUUAUAAUUUGAUUUUGAUUUUUUGUGUUUUAACGCCACUUUUAAGCACCACAUUUAGGCUUUUUCGUGGCGGCUAGUUUUUAUUUGUGGAGGAAGCCGAAGUGCCCGGAAACAACCACCGACCUUCUAUAGGAAAACUGACAAUCCUAGUCAGUUUAGAUUGGGGUCGAGUCAGUUGAUUGGCUAGUGAUUACAGUAAAAAUCAAAGUACUGUAGUACUGAACAUCAGAGGACCUGA